UUUAGGGACUUCUGCCGUAGGAGAGAUGACACCUUCUGUUGGUAAGGAAAACAUCAACAAAGAAAUUAGCAGUAGUUGUCAUCUUUCCUCGGUUGAAGCCCCUCCAUAC
rfam:Vigna angularis cultivar Jingnong 6 chromosome 10, whole genome shotgun sequence.